UCCAGUGUUACACCAUUCUGAACAUGCCCAAUCUCAUCAGAUCUUGGUAGCUACACAGGGUCAGGCCUGGUUAGUAUGGGAU
rnacentral:rRNA from 1 species